rnacentral:lncRNA from 1 species
CCUACAGAAAUGGUAGCCGAUCACUGAAAUUUGUGAAUUCAAAAGGUGUGCUCCAUGAUUGAUGCUGCCAAAAUGAAACCAGUGCAGAUUACUUGUGCAUGGCAGGAAUGCCAUGAUGAGAACUCAGGAUAUCCUUAUUACUGGAACAUGACAACCAACGAGGUAACAUGGGAGAUGCCUGCGGAAUAUCAGCUUGCUUUGCAAAAGUGGCAACUUCUUCAGCAGCAGCAGUUGAACAGUAAAAAAGCUGAAACUUCUUUAAGCAACUCCUCGGCGUCCAUUAGUGAAAAGUUGGAAGCAUGUAAAAAUAAACUCAGUAAUAAUCAAAAGGAAUCACCUCUUCCUAAAAGAAGUAUCCAUUCGACUCAGAUUCAGAGGAAGAUGAGAAAAUUGAAUUGAUCACCUCAUAUGGGUCAGAUUCCAGCGACAGCUCAGAUAGUGAAGCUCUCCCAAAUCAAAAUCAACUAAGGAAUCUCGAAAGUAAAUUCAAGUAAAAAUAAGUCAAUUGUGCCUCAAAUCUCAAAAUCUCACAGCAAAGAGGAAGCUCAGACCAAAUUUCCUAGCAGUUAUGGCCCUUGUUUUCCACCUGGUGCGACAGUCAACACCUCAAAUCCGUCCAAAGCAGUGGAACAAUUGGAUGGUAAAAAGGCAAGAGUAUUUCGCUGGUUCCAUACGGAGAUCCGGACACUUCCGUGAAUAGUGAAUCAUCUGUUUCCAACCUAAAUUUGGAUAGCACUGCUGUUGAUCAUAAUUCCUCUGACGAAACCAAAGUUUCAGGAAGUGAAUCUGCAACAGCUGAAAUUCGAUCAGACGAGGAAGAGAGCGACGAAGAGGAAUUUGAUGAAGAUGAAAGUUUGAUCUUGUCAAAACUCAGGAGUCAGGCAAUGGUUCUCAAACAGCUUGGAGGUGAAAUUCCAGAUGAAAUCAAGUGCUUGAUUGACAGUGAAAACCCUGAUAUUGGCAUUGAUGACAUAAUAGCGCUGAUAGAGAAUGAAACCCCACCUGAUCAUACUACAAACUCAGACUGUGAUAAUCAUCCUCAAAAUCACCAUCAACAAAUGAAAAUGGGUCUAGAACAGUCGAAGAGGUGAAUUCGCCAAAAUCAGUGUCGGAAGGAAGCAACCCUGAAUUUUCCAAGGCCAAUCAACCCUCCUCUUUUGCCUUGAUCGCAGGCUACGGUGAUGAUUCUGAUCAAGAGGAAUCCAGCUCCCCUCCUAAGAGUAAGUUCUUUUGACCAAUGUUUGAAUAAAACCAAGAAAUUCAGGCCUGAUUGAUCGAUAUUAACGGUUUUUUAAGGGCCAAAUUUUUUUUUCCUGAAACAGUUCAUAAUGAAAAUCAGAUGUCUUUUGGCACUGUAAUAUUGGGUUUUUUUCCAACUAAUUUCAUAUUUUCACAGUUUACCAUCGCCCAAUCGAAUCCUGCCUGAGGGGCCAUUAAUAGAUUUUGGUAUCUAUCAAAAAAAGUUUGCUCAGGUGGUAGCGUUUUCAUAGCUAGUUGACCGUUA